AUAGAGGACAGCGCGCUAGCGUAUCUAGUCUAUGUAUAUCUAUGGUCGGCACGUCUGGUAGCAUCUCUGGCUGCUGUUGAUCUUGUUUUUGGAGUAAAACACGGUGGAAGCUGAAUUAGUGAGGAUGACUCCUGCUCCUGUCAUCUCUAAGCUCCUCACACAUCUUUACCUGCACAUGAGGAAAAUCACUCCUGUAGAAUGCAGAACCUCUGGGGAUGUCCUGUGGAUUCUGUGGAUCCUGUGGGUUGCAGGGUGGGUCCUACCUAGACCAGGCUGAUCCUGGACCAUCCCACAGAUGCUCAAUCAGAUCUGGAUGUGGGGAGUGUGGAACCCAGAUGUUCAGAGGGAGAUGAUGCCACAUCUGGUCCAGCUGAUGGAAGGUCUUGAAGUUCUCUGACUGGCCUCGACUGAAGAUGGUCGUCUCACUGGAUUUAAGAUGCACAAUGAGGGACGUCUGCAGAGACUGAGAAAGAGUCUCACCACAUCCUGACAUGAGGAAAAGACUUUAUUGAAGACUACAAUGAGAAAAACUAUCAGACAGCAGACGGCUGCAUUCAAGGUGAGCUCUGAACAUUUGAUCUGGAACAGGAAUUCAAUAACGGCAGCAUGAGCUUCAUUUCAGUCUGUAGCUGCUGAAUUCAUGGAUGAAUCAUCUGGCACUAGAGAAGAAGACCAUCAAACAUCCACGUCAGCUGAUGGAGGUCCAAGAGUCUCACCAAACAAACAACCUACAGAGUGAAGACCUCGAAUCUGAUUGGACGGCCUCUUAUUCAGCCACGUGUGAACAAAUGCCUCUAAGUUGAUUUGUUUUCUAAAAUAAAUGUAGUUUGAGUCCUA